rnacentral:rRNA from 1 species
UCCGGAGAGGGAGCCUGAGAAACGGCUACCACAUCCAAGGAAGGCAGCAGGCGCGCAAAUUACCCACUCCCAGCUCGGGGAGGUAGUGACGAAAAAUAACGAUACGGAACUCUUAUGAGGCUCCGUAAUCGGAAUGAGUACACUUUAAAUCCUUUAACGAGGAUCUAUUGGAGGGCAAGUCUGGUGCCAGCAGCCGCGGUAAUUCCAGCUCCAAUAGCGUAUAUUAAUGUUGUUGCGGUUAAAAAGCUCGUAGUUGGAUCUCGGUUUCGGGCGAGCGGUGCGCCUUGCGGCGUCUACUGUUUGCCCGGACGAUUUUGCUGGUUCGUUCCUGGUUCUCUUAACCGAGUGCCAGGAGUGGCCAGCACGUUUACUUUGAAAAAAUUGGAGUGCUCAAAGCAGGCGCUACAGCCUGAACAUUAGUGCAUGGAAUAAUGGAAUAGGACCUCGGUUCUAUUUCGUUGGCUUUCGGAGUCGAGGUAAUGAUUAAUAGGGACAGACGGGGGCAUUCGUACUGCGACGUUAGAGGUGAAAUUCUUGGAUCGUCGCAAGACGAACUACUGCGAAAGCAUUUGCCGAGAAUGUUUUCAUUAAUCAAGAACGAAAGUUAGAGGUUCGAAGGCGAUCAGAUACCGCCCUAGUUCUAACCAUAAACGAUGUCGACUGGCGAUCCGCUAUCGUUAACUGAAAGACUUAGCGGGCAGCCUCCGGGAAACCAAAGUGUUUGGAUUCUGGGGGGAGUAUGACUGCAAAAUUGAAACUUAAAAGAAUUGACGGAAGGGCACCACCAGGAGUGGAGCCUGCGGCUUAAUUUGACCCAACACGGGAAAUCUCACCAGGCCCGGACACCGGUAGGAUUGACAGAUUGAGAGCUCUUUCUUGAUUCGGUGGGUGGUGGUGCAUGGCCGUUCUUAGUUGGUGGAGCGAUUUGUCUGGUUAAUUCCGAUAACGAACGAGACUCUGGCCUACUAACUAGACGUUAGAUCCCUUCGUGGGUCUAUCGCAGCUUCUUAGAGGGACGGGCGGCGUUUAGCCGCACGAGAUUGAGCAAUAACAGGUCUGUGAUGCCCUUAGAUGUUCUGGGCUGCACGCGCGCUACACUGAAGGAAUCAGCGUGUGUUCCCUGCCCGAAAGGGUUGGGAAACCCGUUGAACCUCCUUCGUGAUGGGGAUUGGGGAUUGCAAUUAUUCCCCAUGAACGAGGAAUUCCCAGUAGGCGCGAGUCAUAAGCUCGCGUCGAUUACGUCCCUGCCCUUUGUACACACCGCCCGUCGCUACUACCGAUCGAGUGAUUUAGUGAGGCCUUCGGACUGGUCUUCAGUAUGGCUUUCGGGUCGUGUUGGAGUAUCGGAAAGAUGACCAAACUUGAUUACUUAGAGGAAGUAAAAGUCGUAACAAGGUU